rnacentral:rRNA from 1 species
CAGUAGCCGCGGUAAGACAGAGGAUGCAAGCGUUAUCCGGAAUGAUUGGGCGUAAAGCGUCUGUAGGUGGCUUUUCAAGUCCGCCGUCAAAUCCCAGGGCUCAACCCUGGACAGGCGGUGGAAACUACCAAGCUGGAGUACGGUUGGGGCAGAGGGAAUUUCCUGUGGAGCGGUGAAAUGCGUUGAGAUCGGAAAGAACACCAACGGCGAAAGCACUCUGCUGGGCCGACACUGACACUGAGAGACGAAAGCUAGGGGAGCAAAUGGGAUUAGAUACCCCCGUAGUCCCUGUCUCUUAUAA